UUUCUCAAAAUAUUUCAUUGACGUAUUCAAUUAGCUUUACCGAUUAAACUACAUAUGGUAGCCCACGCAUAUUGUGAAUCAGGCAGACACUUAUAUCUAGCCUUCAAGAGGCUUUAAACAUUAAGUAACAGCCUAAGACUUUCAACGUCUAAGGUCCUUCCCACAACACCAAUGUUUUAUAUUACAACAGUUAGGUAACUAAGCCAUAGAAACAAGUAUAGAGGGAUGGCAAAAGUGGUGCCAGCAGUCGCGGUUAUACCACUAUCCCGAGUUAAUUUACCACAAACCUAGGAUAAACCUACCAAAGACUGCAAAAUCAACUUUUUUACGUAAAAAAUAUAUUAUAACCAUACCCAACCAAGUCCUGUAUACCUUAUCCGCACAAACCACAACCUCAGAACUCGGAUUAGAUACCCGACUACUGUGUGGCCUAACUAACAAAAGAAUACUAAAAACGAAAGUUUAAAACUCAAACAAUGUGGCGGUGCUUUACUCCUCAUCAGGGGAUCCUGUGGCUUAAAUCGAUAAUCCACGACAAACCUAAGCUUAUCUAGUACCACAGCUUGUGUAUGGCCGUCUAAGCUUGCUCAAAGAAGAUAAUCAAAGGAAGCAAUCAGGGACAACCCUAAAAAUUCAGGUGACAUACAGCCAACGGUAAGCCGCUCCAUGGGAUACAAAUAGCUAACACUACUGAAACUUAACCUCAAAAGUUAAACGAAAGAGGACUUGAAAGUAAGACCUAACACAUCAAGUAGGCCUGAACAAGAACUAAAGCGCGCACAAAUCGCCCGUCACUCCGACAACAAAGUCGGAUAAGUCGUAACAUAGUAGGGGUAAUGGAAAUUGCCCCUAUAAACCAA
rnacentral:rRNA from 1 species